AUGUCUUCGUUUUGGGGUGCGGAGGUGAAGCCAGAGAAGCCCUACACGCACACCCACAGCCCGCGCCGCGGCCGCCUGCGCCUCACCCAGGCGACUCUGGGGGCCGAGGUUGGCAAGGUGGAGAAGGGGAAGACGAACUUGGUGCAGCUGCAGUGCACCGUUAAGAACAAGGAGCCCGUGUAUCUCUGCGCCCUGAUUCCGGGGCAGUCGGUGACUUGCCACCUGGACCUCGAGUUCGAGGAGAAGUUCGUGACGUUCUCGGUGCUUGGGUCGAGGAGCGUUCACUUGGCUGGAUACUAUAUUGGUGAUGUGUACGAGGACAUUGGUGACAGUGAUACUGGUAGUGAGUCACUUCAAGGCUCCGAUGAUGAUUUCUUGGCAUCUGAUGAUGAUGAUGUGGUCAUUCCAGUAUCCCAUGGCCAGAUGAACACAGACAGCGAAGAUGAUUCAGACUAUGAUGAGGACUACGAUUCAGAGGAUGAUGAGGAUUUGAUGUACAACCAAGGUAGAGGCAAGAGUUCAGUUGUCAUUGAGGAGAUUCAAGAGGAUGAGAAGCCUGUUGAUGAUAAUUCUCGACUUCAGCUUGCUGUUAGGACCCUACCUGCUGAAUCCGUGGAAAGUGAAGAUGAAGACGGCUUUCCUGUUUCUGAAUCAAAGAAGAGUUCUAAAGGUAGUUCCAAGAAGGAUAAGAAUCUAAAUAAUGGGACUAGUACUGAAGACAGGAAAAGGAAAAGUGAUGCUAUUAAUGAUCCUCACAAGUCGUCAGGGGAGGUUAAUGCUGAAAAUGAUGUGGUUUCAAAGAAAAAGAAAAAGGCCAAGGACAAAAGGAAUGCUGUGGACAGUGAGAAGGUAAACGAUGAAGAAAAGGAGGUGAAGCUAGCUUCCUCAGCUGACACCGUUGCAGCCAAACAGAAGAAAAAGAAAAGCAAGAAGCAAAGUGCUUCUGAAGGUGACACUGAUGAGCAAGCUGAUAAGAAAACCAUAACAGACAAUGAUGAGGAGCCUAGUAAACAGGGGGCCAAGAAAAAGAAGAACAAGAAGAAAACAAAGGAGAACAAUGGAAGUGAGAACCAGGCACAGACUGAUGUUAUGAAUUCAGCUAGCAAGGAGCAGACAUCACCCAAAGCACGGACUUAUGGCAAUGGUUUGAUUGUUCAGACGGUGGCGUUGGGCAAACCAGAUGGUAAAAAAGCUACCCCUGGGAAAAAGGUUUUUGUCACGUACACUGGCAAGUUGAAGAAUGGCAAGAUUUUUGACUCUAAUGUUGGUCGGAAGCCUUUUUCGUUUAGGCUUGGUGUUGGACAGGUCAUUAAAGGCUGGGACAUUGGUGUCAACGGUAUGCGCAUUGGGGACAAAAGAAAGCUUACAAUUCCACCAUCUAUGGGCUAUGGAAACCAGAAGGCCGGGGAAAUACCGCCGAACUCAACUCUUCUGUUUGAUGUGGAGCUAAUGAACGUACAGUGA
rnacentral:rRNA from 1 species